rnacentral:rRNA from 1 species
AGGAUAGACAGCGCCCGCGGAGCUCGCUCCCGGGGCUACCCUACUCCCGUAGGGUUUAGAGUCGUCGGGCCUCUCGGAGAAGCUCGGUCCUGAACUCCACCCUUGAAUAAACUACCUUUGUUGCUUUGGCGGGCCGCCUCGUGCCAGCGGCUUCGGCUGUUGAGUGCCCGCCAGAGGACCCCAACUCUUGUUUUUAGUGAUGUCUGAGUACUAUAUAAUAGUUAAAACUUUCAACAACGGAUCUCUUGGUUCUGGCAUCGAUGAAGAACGCAGCGAAAUGCGAUAAGUAAUGUGAAUUGCAGAAUUCAGUGAAUCAUCGAAUCUUUGAACGCACAUUGCGCCCUCUGGUAUUCCGGGGGGCAUGCCUGUUCGAGCGUCAUUAUAACCACUCAAGCUCUCGCUUGGUAUUGGGGUUCGCGGUUUCGCGGCCCCUAAAAUCAGUGGCGGUGCCUGUCGGCUCUACGCGUAGUAAUACUCCUCGCGAUUGAGUCCGGUAGGUCUACUUGCCAGCAACCCCUAAUUUUUUUAAGGUUGACCUCGGAUCAGGUAGGGAUACCCGCUGAACUUAAGCAUAUCAAUAAGCGGAGGA